UACAGAGGGUGCGAGCGUUACUCGGAAUUACGGGGCGUAAAGCGUGCGUAGACGGUAGCGUAAGUCAGAUGUGAAAGCCCCGGGCUCAACCUGGGAACUGCAUUUGAGACUGCUCUGCUCGGGUGCGGAAGAGGGAAGCGGAAUUUCCGGUGUAGCGGUGAAAUGCGUAGAUAUCGGAAGGAACACCAGUGGCGAAAGCGGCUUCCUGGUCCGACACCGACGUUCAGGCACGAAAGCGUGGGGAGCAAACAGG
rnacentral:rRNA from 1 species